UACGUAGGCAGCGAGCGUUGUUCGGAGUUACUGGGCGUAAAGGGUGUGUAGGCGGUUGUUUAAGUUUGGUGUGAAAUCUCCCGGCUCAACUGGGAGGGUGCGCCGAAUACUGAAUGACUUGGAGUGCGGGAGAGGAGAGUGGAAUUCCUGGUGUAGCGGUGAAAUGCGUAGAUAUCAGGGGAACACCGGUGGUGUAGACGGCUCUCUGGACCGUAACUGACGCUGAGACACGAAAGCGUGGGUAGCAAACAGG
rnacentral:rRNA from 1 species